GCUGAACAAAGAUACAGAAACACAUUUCUGUAUUAUAGUGUGUCAUGGUUUCAUGAUUUUCGGUUAUUGGUACUCAACAUUAUAACAUCAUGUAGUGGAUGUACCUGGUUCUCAGAAGAGAAGGACUACUACAUUCCCCACGGUACUUUGCUCCUCUGUUACCAUUUUCCAGCCAGAGGGAAAAGAUAAAAGCUCGCAGUAUAAAAACUUCCAGAUCAUGAGACCUUGUCCCUUUUUUCCGCCAUCUCUCGUCUUGGCAGCACCUCGCUCUCCAGCCGUCUUAUCGUCGGUAGUAGAGUAAGGCCUACCUUGAUUUUGGGACAUUCUCUCUCUCUGUAUUGGAUUUAUCAGCUUAAAUUGUAAUUAUAUUGUAUUAUAGUGUGUUGUUUUGCAUUCCGAUAUUUUAUUUAGUAAAUUAGUUUGUUUCUCCUCAGAUUGUUGCCGCUGUUCUUUGCUCUCAGGGCCAUCUCCUCACCCUUUUCCCCUUUUCCUUUUUUCUGGGGCGUGGGCCUGUGGGUCCCCCGUCCCCUUCGUCAUGGAACCGGGCCAAACGCCCGUAAACCGUUGACAUAGUGGUAGAAACCUAAUCUGUCAGUCUCCUGAUGAGCAUUGAAGGGCUCCAGGUGAAUCCUCUAAAAAUAAAUGGAGCUAAUCCUACCCUUCCUCAACUGCUGACGUAUUGGUGAGCUCUCUUCUGACCCUAAGCUGCAUUUGGGGAUUUAUUCCAUAGUAUGUGCUGCGAGUAUCGCUACGUUACUAUCUUUGACAGGAAAUGAAGGCAUCCAGCUUCCAUGAUGGUUCAGGAAUUCAGGGAAGUGCUAACCUUUGAAGAACAAGAAUGUGUGGUGGAGUCAGAUUGAUAGGUGUUUUGGCUGUGGAACAAGUUUGGGACUGAUGGUUCGUUGGCAUGAGGCAGAGUCUACCAGCGGCCCCAGAGAGCCAGACGAAUAGGUCUGCAAAUUUCAGAUGCCAAAUUGCAGUUAACUAUGCUUCAGCUGAACAAAUUGCUAUUCUAAUCCCUCUACUAGCGUGAGCUGAAGUACUUUACUUUGGUUCCCAAAAACAAUUUGAACAUCUCUGUCAGAACAAAAACUUCAAUACCACAUAAAAAGGCUGACUGAAGAAGAACCUAUCAGAA
rnacentral:lncRNA from 1 species